AACAUGAAACCUGUGGUCUACUGAACCAACAGCUGAACCACAUGAAUAUAACCUCUUAGACUGGAAGAAAUUCAUCUUUAAGAGAAGGAAUUUGAGACUGCACUAUGCCCUGUUUUCAAUGUAUAAUUUAAUGGAUUUUCUACCUUCUCCCCUCCCCCUGUGUGCCACUCAGUAAUAAUAUAAUUAUGGAAUAUCUUCAAAGGUUGGACUAGACCAAGCAUAAUAUUCAAAAGGUACUCUCAUCUUUCAAGACCUUCAGUUGCCCCCAAGGAAAAGAUGCGCAGAAAGGAAACCAUCAGAUGUGGAAAGCUGCUCUGUAAUGUCCCACAUGACAUGUAAUCAAAGCCAUCAAAGAAGCAUGAAAACUCUGGACAAACUUCCAUGACAUUUGGUUCUGCAACAUCCAUGAGCCUAAACCUACCACACACUGCAUCAGGAAAAGACCACAUCAUGAAUGCUUAUGGCAAAGCUGAUUUCUUGUAGGUUUACAGAGCAAGUUGGUUUGUAGUGGUUUCACUUUAGCAUCUGUAACUUACAGUAAAAAUAUUAAGGUGUAUGGAGAAGGAAUAAUGACUAGAAUAGAAUAUGACAUCAAAAUCCAGAUUUUUGGUGAGAGAGAUAUAACUUCCUGAAUGUCUUAUUAUGCACUGGUCACUGUGACACUCUCCUGUUAAGUCCAUAUAUAAAUUACACACAUUCAUCAAAAUUCAGAUAUUAUGUCACAGUGAGAGUAUUAGAGAUUUUCUAAUUCAAAUGAGUAGAGAAUUUAUUGCAUCUGCCACAUAUGUUCUUCCCUAAUCAUUUUAUAAGUGUCCAAGUGUUCAACCUGGAAGGCAUGAAGCAAAAUCUGGUCUCAUAACUACUGACAGUUCUGUAUUACCUCAAUAGAUAUGUAGAUACGAAGCCACAUUUGGCAGUCAAAAGCACUUUGGUUAUGAGAAAAACACACAGUAGGUCAUGUUACAAAGCUGACAACAACCUUAAAGAAACAGAGACUACAUGACAUCCCAACUAGUUGUUAUUCUUUAGUGAAAGGGGACUCCUCAGUUCUCCUUCAGGUGUUGCAUUCUUAAAGCUCUUUCUCCAUGUUUGUCCCUCUUUCUCAAACCAAACUUUGCUUUCUAGCCAGGUUAAAAUCAAACAAAUAUUGAUCAAGACACAUUUCAAAUUUUCUAAGCCGUAUCUUUCUUCCACUGUUAGUCUCAAUUCCAUUCUAAAUCCAUCAUUGCUUUUUUCUCAUAGAAGAAUGAGAAUUCAUGUAAACAGUAUGUUUGGAGGGGCACAGAGCUGACUUUCUGUCCCCAGGCAGUGCACACAGACAGGCAUAUUGCUCUUGGGUCUGCAAAAAUCAUUCCAGUCCACAUCAUUCUUUCAUUAGUUUUCCUCUUGUGACGGCCAACAACAUUGCCAAUUAACACUAAUCAUGGUAUGGACACCUGUCCACUAUGAAAGAGGCUGAAAACAAUUAUGUAGUCAUUUUACAAAGCUCAUGAAGCAGCUGUCAAAUGAUAAUGACUUUCAGUCACUGUUGGCUUUGGCUGUGUUGCAACAGGUGGCCAAAAGGUGAAAUACUACUUAUGCCAUUAUCUUCUGUCUUAAUUAUUCUAGCCUCUGUUUUCAUACUCACCCCUACAUUCCACAGUACUUAAGCUUACGAUGAGGAAUGACAGAUAUAAUGUCUAUGAAUGUAUGUCACAUAAGCUCCUACUGAUUGUAAAGUCUUUUCAAAUAUGAAGAAAUUUAUAUAUCUCAUCUCUUCAAGAAGAUAAAAUGGUAGAUACUUAAACACACUGAGAUUAAAAAUGGAAAUUGG
ensembl:lncRNA